rnacentral:rRNA from 1 species
AGUGAACGCUGGCGGUAGGCCUAACACAUGCAAGUCGAACGGCAGCACAGUAAGAGCUUGCUCUUACGGGUGGCGAGUGGCGGACGGGUGAGGAAUACAUCGGAAUCUACUUUUUCGUGGGGGAUAACGUAGGGAAACUUACGCUAGUACCGCAUACGACCUACGGGUGAAAGCAGGGGAUCUUCGGACCUUGCGCGAUUGAAUGAGCCGAUGUCGGAUUAGCUAGUUGGCGGGGUAAAGGCCCACCAAGGCGACGAUCCGUAGCUGGUCUGAGAGGAUGAUCAGCCACACUGGAACUGAGACACGGUCCAGACUCCUACGGGAGGCAGCAGUGGGGAAUAUUGGACAGUGGGCGCAAGCCUGAUCCAGCCAUACCGCGUGGGUGAAGAAGGCCUUCGGGUUGUAAAGCCCUUUUGUUGGGAAAGAAAAGCAGCAGGUUAAUACCCCGCUGUUCUGACGGUACCCAAAGAAUAAGCACCGGCUAACUUCGUG